UUUUAAUUAUAUUAGGUUGGUGCAAAAGUAAUUGCAGUUUUUGCCAUUAAAAGUAAUGGCAAUUACUUUUGCUCCAAUCUAAUAGUAUCUUUCUUCAUUA
rnacentral:miRNA from 1 species